rnacentral:misc_RNA from 1 species
UACGGAGGGAGCUAGCGUUGUUCGGAAUUACUGGGCGUAAAGCGCGCGUAGGCGGCUUGCCAAGUCAGGGGUGAAAUCCCGGGGCUCAACCCCGGAACUGCCAUUGAAACUAGCAGGCUAGAAUCUUGGAGAGGUCAGUGGAAUUCCGAGUGUAGAGGUGAAAUUCGUAGAUAUUCGGAAGAACACCAGUGGCGAAGGCGACUGACUGGACAAGUAUUGACGCUGAGGUGCGAAAGCGUGGGGAGCAAACAGG